GGACGGUUAGCUCAAUGGCGGAGCGCUGCGUUUACAUCGCAGAGGUUAUAGGUUCGAGUCCUAUACCGUCCA
rnacentral:tRNA from 2 species